ACGGACUUCUUCUGCGGUAGCCAUAGAAUCCAAAUUAUCUUGCUUUGCUUGGCUGUUCUUGCGGCGGAGCGUAGCUUCAAUCUCAGGAUCAAAAUCUUCAAGAGGAAGCUUCUGAGAUCGCGUGUUCAUGCACUACCUACAAAACUCCAACGCAAGAAUCAGAACCGCAGGAAAAAUAAAGAACAGAAAAAUAAAUAACAGAAAUAAAAAAAAAUCCAGAGUAGUAUCAAACAAUUAACAGAAUAGUACUGAUAAAAAUCAGUCCCCGGCAACGGCGCCAAAAACUUGUUCGCUAUUUUAUUAACACGCCGCAAGUGUACGGGUGCAAUUGUGUACAGUAGCAAGCAAGGUCGUAUUCCACAGAGACUGA
rnacentral:lncRNA from 1 species